AAAGAACGCCGAUAACCGUAAGAAACAGAAGACAAAACAUAAAAUUGGAUCAAAAACUUACUCGCAAGUAAGCUUUGAGAAGAGAAACUUGGAACUCACCCACACGAACGACGGAACAUGGUCUAACACAGAGUCCUAGAAAGUUUGCAACAAAGCACGUCAAGAGGUUCAAAACAAAGAAACUGAAACUGAAGGUCCACUUUCAAGUGAGUAGAAAAACUAUAUUUUCCAGACCGCAUACAAAGAGACUCUGAAAUGCAAGUCAUCGCAGCCUUGUGGGUACGGAUACAUGGCCAAACCUUCAACUGGUUCUCAAAGGUUUCGUAUCCAGGUUGAAGAGCAAGGUCGUGCUACAGCAGCCACCCAGCAGCAAAACUCUGAGCUCAGCCAGCAGGUCAACGAAUUACAAGAUCAACUACAAGCUGAACGUGCAAACACACAAGAGAGGAU